rnacentral:rRNA from 1 species
CAGAGACAGAGGAAUGUGCUGGGAAGCGCAGCGACACAGGGUGAUAGCCCCGUACUCGAAGUCUGUGUUAUGGUACUAAGCUAACGACAAGUAAGGCGGGACACGUGAUAUCCUGUUUGAAGAUGGGGGGACCAUCCUCCAAGGCUAAAUACUCCUGAUUGACCGAUAGUGAACCAGUACUGUGAAGGAAAGGCGAAAAGAACCCCGGUGAGGGGAGUGAAAUAGAACCUGAAACCUUGUACGUACAAGCAGUGGGAGCCUGAAAGGGUGACUGCGUACCUUUUGUAUAAUGGGUCAGCGACUUAUAUUUUGUAGCGAGGUUAACCGAAUAGGGGAGCCGAAGGGAAACCGAGUCUUAACUGGGCGAGUAGUUGCAAGGUAUAGACCCGAAACCCGGUGAUCUAGCCAUGGGCAGGUUGAAGGUUGGGUAACACUAACUGGAGGACCGAACCGACUAAUGUUGAAAAAUUAGCGGAUGACUUGUGGCUGGGGGUGAAAGGCCAAUCAAACCGGGAGAUAGCUGGUUCUCCCCGAAAUCUAUUUAGGUAGAGCCUUGAGCGGACACCUUCGGGGGUAGAGCACUGUUUCGGCUAGGGGUCCAUCCCGGAUUACCAACCCGAUGCAAACUGCGAAUACCGAAGAGUGAUACUCAGGAGACACACGGCGGGUGCUAACGUUCGUCGUGGAGAGGGAAACAACCCAGACCGCCAGCUAAGGUCCCAAAGUCUAUAUUAAGUGGGAAACGAAGUGGGAAGGCUUAGACAGCUAGGAUGUUGGCUUAGAAGCAGCCAUCAUUUAAAGAAAGCGUAAUAGCUCACUAGUCGAGUCGGCCUGCGCGGAAGAUGUAACGGGGCUGAAAUAUAGCACCGAAGCUGCGGCAUCAGUAGCAAUACUGUUGGGUAGGGGAGCGUUGUGUAAGCGGAAGAAGGUGGCUCGAGAGGGUUGCUGGACGUAUCACAAGUGCGAAUGCUGACAUAAGUAACGAUAAAACGGGUGAAAAACCCGUUCGCCGGAAGACCAAGGGUUCCUGUCCAACGUUAAUCGGGGCAGGGUGAGUCGGCCCCUAAGGCGAGGCUGAAAAGCGUAGUCGAUGGGAAACGGGUUAAUAUUCCCGUACUUGGAUAAACUGCGAUGUGGGGACGGAGCAGGUUAGGUUAGCGUGCUGUUGGAUAUGCACGUUUAAGUUGGUAGGUGGGGAGUUUAGGCAAAUCCGGACUUCCUUAACACUGAGAGAUGAUGACGAGGCUCUACGGAGCUGAAGUAACCGAUACCACACUUCCAGGAAAAGCCACUAA